rnacentral:rRNA from 1 species
GAUGAACGCUGGCGGCGUGCCUAAUACAUGCAAGUCGAGCGAACGGACGAGAAGCUUGCUUCUCUGAUGUUAGCGGCGGACGGGUGAGUAACACGUGGAUAACCUACCUAUAAGACUGGGAUAACUUCGGGAAACCGGAGCUAAUACCGGAUAAUAUUUUGAACCGCAUGGUUCAAAAGUGAAAGACGGUCUUGCUGUCACUUAUAGAUGGAUCCGCGCUGCAUUAGCUAGUUGGUAAGGUAACGGCUUACCAAGGCAACGAUGCAUAGCCGACCUGAGAGGGUGAUCGGCCACACUGGAACUGAGACACGGUCAAGACUCCUACGGGAGGCAGCAGUAGGGAAUCUUCCGCAAAGGGCGAAAGCCUGACGGAGCAACGACGCGUGAGGGAUGAAGGUCUUCGGAUCGUAAAACUCUGUUAUUAGGGAAGAACAUAUGUGUAAGUAACUGGGCACAUCUUGACGGUACCUAAUCAGAAAGCCACGGCUAACUACGUG